rnacentral:rRNA from 1 species
ACGAGGGCGUGUGGGGCUUAAUAUCCCCC